rnacentral:ribozyme from 1 species
UUUUUUUUUUUUUUUUUUUUUUUUUUUUUUUUUUUCAAAAGGUAACGUAAAAUUACUUUAUGAAAAAAGGCAUGUUCAGACAGAUUGAUCCUAAAGAUGAAAU